rnacentral:rRNA from 1 species
UACGUAGGGGGCGAGCGUUAUUCGGAUUUACUGGGCGUAAAGCGCGUGUAGGCGGCUGGUUAAGCGUGAUGUGAAAUCUCCGGGCUCAACCCGGAAACUGCAUUGCGAACUGGCCUGACUGGAGUGCAGGAGAGGGUAGUGGAAUUCCCAGUGUAGAGGUGAAAUUCGUAGAUAUUGGGAAGAACACCGGUGGCGAAGGCGGCGACCUGGUCCGUGACUGACGCUGAGGCGCGAAAGCGUGGGGAGCAAACAGG